UCAAAGUGGAGGCACAAGAGCACCUCUCAUGCUGUAAAGGACCAACACAGUGCCAGGAAACCCACCAGCCCCUUGCUUUUCCUGUACUGUCAGCACUAGGCUGUGGUAACAGAGCUUGUCUGCAGUCAGGCCACCCCACAGCAGAGCCUCUGUGGGCAUUCAGGCACUCAGAGUGUCACUGCAAGGGCCUGGCAGCUCCUGCUGGGGACACGGGACCUGCACAGCCCAAGUGGCCAGUGUGGCCACCAGCUCUGGGACCAGGCAGGGCAGUUUUGGGAAGCGAGUGAACUGCUACCCCUGCAGUAUCUGAAACAGAGCAAAUGUUUCUAUCAAAUCUUCAGCUCUUCAAGCAACACGGACCUGCACUUGUGUGCAUUCAGUGCUGUGCCUGGGAGGGAUGCUCACAGGGUCUGCUCCAGCUGGGGACUCAAAGGGAAGCAAAUUCCAGGGGCUGCUGCCUGCCAUGGCUGGUGCUCAGCGAGAGCCAGGAGCGAGUGCCUGACAUUUCCAAAGCUGUGCUCUGUGACUGCAGAAACCAAGCACUCCUUACAUCUUCCUGUAAGCCCAGCAGCUAAGUCAGAGAGCUGUCACACAGGAAAUAGUUUUUUCUUCUCAGUCUCCCUUUCCCUCCAGAUCCAUUCUUUGAUUACUGUGUGCCCUGUGCAGAACAGGAGGUUGAAAGAUGCAACCCAAGAUCUCCCAGUCCUGGGGUAGCCCUACAAAUACAACCCCUACUAGAACAAGACUUUGAGAACGAGCUUCCAGGAGAAUUCCAAAUGCUGUCAAUAGGGUUGUUCAACCUUCUGAAAGGGCAAAAAUACUAACAAAGGAUUCAAAAGAG
rnacentral:lncRNA from 1 species